rnacentral:rRNA from 1 species
AAUCAACGCUGGCGGCGCGCUUAACACAUGCAAGUCGCACGAGAAAGUGGAGCAAUCCAUGAGUACAGUGGCGUACGGGUGAGUAACACGUGGGUAAUCUACCUCUUAGUGGGGAAUAACUCUGGGAAACCGGAGCUAAUACCGCAUAAGCCUGGAAAGGGAAAGCAGCAAUGCGCUGAGAGAGGAGCCCGCGGCCGAUUAGCUAGUUGGUAGGGUAAAAGCCUACCAAGGCAAUGAUCGGUAGCCGGCCUGAGAGGGCACACGGCCACACUGGCACUGAAACACGGGCCAGACUCCUACGGGAGGCAGCAGUGGGGAAUCUUGCACAAUGGGGGCGAACCCUCGAUGCAGCGACGCCGCGUGAGCGAUGAAAGCCCUUCGGGGUGGUAAGACUCUUUCGGUCGAGAACGGAUAAUGACGGUACCGUGAAGAAGAAGCUGCGGCUAACUACGU